rnacentral:rRNA from 1 species
AAACUUUCAACAAUGGAUCUCUUGGCUCUCGCAUCGAUGAAGAACGCAGCGAAAUGCGAUAAGUAAUAUGAAUUGCAGAAUUCCGUGAAUCAUCAAAUUUUUGAACGCAAAUUGCACUUCCUGGUAUUCCGAGGAGUACACAUGCUUGAGGGUCAGUU